GCUAUCACUUACAGAUGGACCCGCGGCGCAUUAGCUAGUUGGKGAGGUAACGGCUCACCAAGGCAACGAUGCGUAGCCGACCUGAGAGGGUGAUCGGCCACACUGGGACUGAGACACGGCCCAGACUCCUACGGGAGGCAGCAGUAGGGAAUCUUCCGCAAUGGACGAAAGUCUGACGGAGCAACGCCGCGUGAGUGAUGAAGGUUUUCGGAUCGUAAAGCUCUUUGUUAGGGAAGAACAAGUGCCGU
rnacentral:rRNA from 1 species